CAGAGACCAAUGAAGACUGUAAAGCCUA
rnacentral:piRNA from 1 species